CAUAUUGCUGCUUGGCAUCAGGUUUUGUGGAUAUACAUACCGUCAAUUUCAAAGUCCUGGGCAGCUUUUCUUGAAAACCAAGGUCCAAUAUCAGACUGCAUCCAGAAGUCAUCCUCACAAAAUAAAAUAUAAUUGGAAGACUGAAUUUAUCAUUACUCGGAGUUUCUCUAAAACUGCAGGAUUUUCUUCGAGAAACUUCAUAAGCCAGGGAUUCUAGGAAAUCUUGUUGGAUGCUUUUGCCACUUCUCCUCCCUGCGAUUAUUGAGUCUAACAUGUCGUACAUCCUA